GAAUUUUCCGCAAUGGGCGAAAGCCUGACGGAGCAACGCCGCGUGAGGGAGGAAGGCCUGUGGGUUGUAAACCUCUUUUCUCAGGGAAGAAGAUCUGACGGUACCUGAGGAAUCCGCAUCGGCUAACUCCGUGCCAGCAGCCGCGGUAAGACGGAGGAUGCAAGCGUUAUCCGGAAUUAUUGGGCGUAAAGCGUCCGCAGGCGGCUCAGCAAGUCUGCUGUCAAAGAGCGGGGCUCAACUCCGUAGAGGCAGUGGAAACUGCUGGGCUAGAGUAUGGUAGGGGCAGAGGGAAUUCCCGGUGUAGCGGUGAAAUGCGUAGAGAUCGGGAAGAACACCGGUGGCGAAAGCGCUCUGCUGGGCCGCGACUGACACUCACAGGACGAAAGCUAGGGGAGCGAAUGGG
rnacentral:rRNA from 1 species